UGGGGAAUAUUGCGCAAUGGGGGAAACCCUGACGCAGCAACGCCGCGUGGGUGAAGAAGGCCUUCGGGUUGUAAAGCUCUGUCUUCUGGGACGAUAAUGACGGUACCAGAGGAGGAAGCCACGGCUAACUACGUGCCAGCAGCCGCGGUAAUACGUAGGUGGCAAGCGUUGUCCGGAUUUACUGGGCGUAAAGGGAGCGUAGGCGGAUAUUUAAGUCAGAUGUGAAAUACCCGAGCUUAACUUGGGUGCUGCAUUUGAAACUGGAUAUCUGGAGUGCAGGAGAGGAAAGUGGAAUUCCUAGUGUAGCGGUGAAAUGCGUAGAGAUUAGGAAGAACACCAGUGGCGAAGGCGACUUUCUGGACUGUAACUGACGCUGAGGCUCGAAAGCGUGGGGAGCAAACA
rnacentral:rRNA from 1 species